GUAAUGAAGAAAUGUAUUUUAAGAAUUUGUCACUUAGGUCCUAGGCUUAAAACCAUGUUGGGACUUAGGUUGGUCUGGAUUUGUAUGCUCAUAUUAGCUCCAGGAACUUGGUCUGUUUGAGGGAUUUACACAUGAGAAACCAAUCUGUUUUCAUUAAUGAGUUUGAGUCAAUAGAUUUUGUUUCCAAUAGCUAAUGUUGGUCCUACUUAGUUUCCUUUUUAGUCUUCCUUUCUCAUUAGCCUCUUCUAUGCUGGCUCUCCAUGAUGCAAUUGAUUUUCAGGUUCUAUACUGUCCUAAGGUAUUUCAAGAGUCCAAAAGUUCACCUUUGUCUAGUUGAAGUGCUUAAGCAGCUCAUCAUUUUUAAAGACUUCCACACAGAUUUGUUUUAAGCUAAAACUUGCUUGUUUUGAUCAAAUGCUUUAAACAACUGGCUGUCUUUCCCUAACGAUAUUUCAAACCCAAAAGAUCUUUCAAAGUCUCCCAAACACUCAGAACAGGUUUUAUCUCCUUUCCUUGUUGUGUCAGCUCUGUUCUAUGCAAAAGUUGGUAAUCAGAUUAGUUUGGUUUUGUUUUAGUUUUGUAGGUUAGGUGAAUAAUUUACUGCUCAUUCCAGCAUUGCCAAAUCCCUUUUGAAUCUUGGAACAAAGUAUAUGGCUUGUUUGAGCUAAAACAUCUAACUAAUCAGUCUUGUUUGGGUUGAAGUAAUUAGCUUUCUGCCUGGGUCCUUAAAGUAAUGCAUUUCCUUGCUUUUUGUUUGAUUCACUGAGGCUAUGUUUUUCCCAGAGCCCGGCUUGAUUGACUUUAAUCCAAUCUGUGGUUGAAUGUUCCUUUUUGUUUAAGCAGAGUAUAAGUUUUGCAUUCCCCUUUUCAUUUCUUUUGUAAUAGUAUGUGAACAAAAAGAGUAUCAGCUUGUUCCCCUUUUGUGAUUAUAAGCGUGAUUUAAUAUUAUGAAUCUGGUUCAUAGUAUGUCAAGGAUGAUGAUCAUUUUAUUUUAAAUCACUUUUGUUUUCUUUAAAAGUACUUUUAAGUCCCCCGAUUCAUUUGCCUAACUAAAUGGUCUGCCUGCAUAUUUUAAAUUUUGAAAUAUACUGUGGGACUAGUUAUUAUUUUUGGUCCAAAGUCUUGUUUAAGAAGGUCAUGACUAUGGGAAAAUCAAAUAACCUCUAAGCUUGAACAUUAGAAUUGGGGUUUUAAAUGAUAAAUAAAGAUCCAAAGAAAAAACUGAGCUUCUUUUUUUGUUCCCACUUUAUUUUUAUUCUAUGAAGUUUAUCUAUGAUGUGUUUGAAUCCCCCUAAAAGUGAAGACUUGGAAAGAACUAUUUUACUUAUCUACUAGACAUGUUACUUACAAUAGUUUUGUCUUAACCAAGUGUUCUUUGAAUAAAUUAAGUGUCAGAUUUCAACUUUAAGAAUCAAUAUUGAUACUCUUUCCAAAAUUGUGAUUUUGAAUAUUUUGGACUGUUUUCUUCUUAAAGUCUUAAAACCAACACUUUAGCCACCCUAACCUUUAUUUGAUAUAACAACCUAUUUUUCAACUUGGGCAAGUUAAGAUGUUAAUACAGAUGUCUUCUAUCCUAUGUAUUAUUUUAUUGAAACUACUAUGUGUUUGGGAUACUUACUCUUCACCCCCUUUUCUUUUGCAUGACUUGGGGAUUUCUAAAUCCUUUUGAGUUGUUGUCCUUCUCCAACAAAAUGGGUGCGGCACUUCGAGAAUCUGGAUGCUGGCAACUGUAUAUAGCUGCUGCUGUUUGGCAUGUUGGUUGCCUUCUGCUGGACUUUCGAAGAAAUGCUGUCAUAUUGAAACUUAAAGUAUGUGGUUGCAAUGUUGAACUAAAUCUUGGGCAGCUCUUAGGAUUCAAUGUUGCUGUUUGUUAAAGGCGAUGAUGAAAAGUGUAUAAAUUCAUCAAGAUAAGGGAAUGAAGGAAAUUGUAUCUUGGCGAGGCGACUUUGGAUGGGCAUAGAUAAUCGCGCAACCAGUCCGCAGCCAUGGCGACACCUCCAUUUCCCUGGUAAAGGCCGCAAAUAAUAUUUCUGAGCCUCAAUACAUUGAUCGCUGCUGUUUCAGGCUCGGCUUGGCUAUUUGACACCCACAGGUUGUUUCUUUCCUUUCUUUAAACAUAUCAUUGUUUGCCUUGCCUUGUUAAUGUAUUUAUUUGAGCCUUGCCGGCUGUGGUUUGUUGAUCGUUAUUACUUCGCCUCAUCGGCUGUUGUUAUCGAUGUUUGCCCUGUGUUGCUGCCCAUUUUGGGAUAAGCUUUCCACUUCCAUGUUGUUGCUAUUUGUUGUUGUUGGGCUGCCCUGUUGGUGACCAUUUUAAGCCUAAUGACUGAUGUACUUAGCCAAAGCUCGCUGGUGUAUUUUGGGAAAAAUCGACUAAUGUGUUUAAAUUUCAAGGUGCUAUAAUUUUCGCUAUAAACUUUCCGCCAAACACGAGUAGAUGCUCCACUUAGCUGCUGGUUCGUAUUGUUAUACUUCGAGGCCGAAUGGCUGAUUAUAGUUGACAUCCAACUGCUGCAUAUUGCAGUAGAUCUCAAUAAAAUUUGGGAUUUCCAUUUGAAGCUCGUAUGUUACUUAAUAGUUGCUGCGUUUUUGGCCAUUUUCUACUGUGUCCUUAGGCCAUUUGUUGCUGUAUUUUGGCCCUUCCUUAGGCCCUUUAUUGCCGCAUUUGAGUAAAUUAUCGUUGUUGUACUUAAGGCAGCCGCCGUAGCAUAUUCGGGCCAGUUUGUCUACAUUUUGAUGGCGCUCCUGUUACAUUUUUCUGGGAAAACAAUUGUUACAUUUCUAAAGGAAAAAUGCUACAUUUAAUUGAAAAUAGCUGCUGGUAUAUGUUUUGGUGUGCUGCACAGAUUGCUAGACUUGAUAAAAUCCCACUGACUUGAAACACGUCGCUACACUUGAGGCCGAUGAAGAGUUGCUUAACUUGAGGCCACAUUUCGAAAGAACAGAUUUCUAUACUCGAUUUUCAUUUACUGAUUUGAAUAGAUACUUAACUUGAUGAUGCCUAGUCCGGAAAGGUUUUAUCUCUCAAUGGGCAAUGAUGAUCAUAGUCUAGUUAUAAAAUAGGAACCAACAUGCGCUUGGCGAGGCAAUAGAAUGACAGACGGGUCGCUAUUACGCAGCCAUGACAUGUUCAGGGGUCCUUUUUUCUAUAUUUGAAAGAAGCAUGAUUUUGAGCCUUUAGUAAUCAAAGCUCCUAUAGUUUGAUGCAAAACCGAGGGAUAUUAUAUUUAUAUUCAUAAACGUCACCCCGUGGGGUGGCGUAUUCUUUUUACUAAUCAUUCUCUUUUCUAUUCUUGCGAGGUAUGAAUAAACAAGUUCGGGGAAUACUACAAGGAUGAAUAUUGCACAAUUGGAGCAUACAUAUGGAAUCCAAGCAAUAUGGAAAUGACAAGAAGAGAAGUAGUAGGAGACAAGGCAAAGACUUGGACAUUUGGAGCUUUCAGACGAAGAAUAAAGGAAGAACGGAAUUGCAACAAAAGGUCCAAGAAGGCGAGGAGAUAGGCUUAUCCGAUUAACAUUUCUCCACCUUCAUUCUCUCCCUCUCUUUAGUUAUUUUGAAAAUAUUCUGUUUAUUUGUUUUAUUUAAGUAUUGUUGGAACCUUUAUAGGUUAGAACUUAAGAUUUAGAGUUGCCAAAACUGAUUUUCAAAGCCAUGUAUAAACCAGACGAGAAAUAUGAAUUACUCUUAAUAUAAGCUUGCUUUUCAUAA